GCCUAAUAAUUUAUUUAACAACAUAAACUGUAUGUUAACCGCAUUAUUAAAUCACUUGUACAAGAAUUAUUAGGAAAAGAGAGGGAUAAAAGCAAUAAUAUAUCAAAAAGUAAAAAUAAUAUAGAAGAUAGAAUCCAAGAUAAAUCUUGUGUAUAGAAGCAGCUAAAAGCCACCACCUAAAAGUGAAAAUGGAUAAGGCGGUGGUGGUCUAGCCUCCACAUCUGCCGCCAGUUCUCCAAAAUAGCUUAUUUGGCCAACCCUAUCAUCACCACAACCUAUCAAGUUAUUCUCUGGUGGAGGCCUUGCAACAGUGACAGUGUUCCUAAUCCCUCCACCCAUCGAAAUUGAUGUGAAUGUAUUAGGCGCUGAGUCAGGAACAUAGUUCCCUUCUCCUAACCACCUUAUGAUAUUUUUCUCCGGCGAUGGCGAAGAUUGGCAAAACCCAGUUUCUGGCGACGAUAUUACCCCAACGCUUCCCCAUUCUUCCUCUUCAGACUUCACCAAACUAGAAACUGCCGCCCCACCAGAGGAUGAUGAAGAAGAAGAAAUCAUUAACCGGCACUUUUUGUCAUUUAAUUGUUUGGUUCGUUCUUUCUGGAGUAUCAUGCGAGGGAGAAGAUCAGGGUCCUGCACAACUUUGUAAAGAAAAGACAUCAUUUGUUGAGGGCGUCUCUCAGUGGCCUCCAAGCGUUUGUUCAUAUCCUCAAGCUCUUUCUCCAUGACUCUCUGUUCUUGCUUUAACCUUGCUAUCUCCAUAACUAGCUCUUCAUUGUCAAAAUCCUCUAUUUUAGCUUGCAUACAUGAGCCCUUGCUAUGCUUUCUACGAACUAUAUUCUUCAACAAUUGCUUUUGGCUCCGAAGAAACCACUCGUUUGCGAAUUCCCAUCUAUCGGGAUCCACUUUUCUAAAACCAUAGGUGUUUAGUUGGCGAACGAAGCUAGAGAAGUUGUUG
rnacentral:misc_RNA from 1 species